CGCAGCUAGAUUUUCUCAGGUACAGGAUGACUUCGCAAAUGAGGAUUUGUUUUAUUAUUUUUUUCCUGCUUUUACCUGCUGAUAAAUAAUCCUUGGAGUGAAGUGGGUGAGGGGGUGGAACACAGUAUGCAUUCAAAGAGACACAACAGAAAUGGUCCUGUCACACCUGCCUCAUUACUAUCUUUACCUCUGAAGCAUGUGACGUCUGAUUUAUGUUCUAGGUGGAGCAUCUCAAUGCUAAAUAAAAUGGGAUUUUAGUAAGCAUCAUAACAGAAUCAACAUCUAUAUCGAUUCUCAUAGUCAUAGCAAUCAUCUCAUAAGCAAUUGCCAACAGUUUUGUAUGAGCUGAGAGCCUGUCUCAGCCUUGAUUCAAAUGAAAGCAGUUAGCUGUUUGUAUGCAUUCAGUUUGCAAGCUGUCAUAUAAUGAUUCAUACCAAUGAUGUUAAUGAAACCUGACUUGUAAAAACAAUUUUGAUGGCAGACUCUCAGCUGUCAUUCCACCCUUCCCAUAAAGCUCAUGCAGUUUGUGUCAUGUGUGACCAUUAUGACAUUAGGUAUCGUGAAAUUAACUGAAUUAUGCAAAAAAAAAACCACCCUAGACUGUAAGCAGAGAUGUUACAGCCUUAGGUUGUACUUCCACAUGGCUUAAUCAGGUGAGAUUCUCAUGAACGCAGCUGUAGGGCUCAGACAGCGAGCCAGGUCUCAGUGCUGCUUUUGCUGUAUUAGCAAAUGUGAAAUACCUGAGUCUUAGCCAGAGAAUCACAGAAAGGUCAGGGUUGGAAGGACCUCUGGAGAUCACCUAGUCCAACCCCCCUGAUAAAGCAGGUUGCACAGGAUCGCAUCCAGGUGAGUUUUGAAUGCCUCCAGAGAAGGAGACUCCAUCCAAUUGUUUCUGUUUCAUUGACUUCUAUCAUUAACUUCUUUAAUAAUAAAACUGGAGGUAUUUACUUAAUGUGUGUUUUAUGGUAUUACUUUGUGGUCGAUUAAGUCCAGAGCCAAAAGGAAUAAGAGGGAGUGUAAAUGUACUCAUUCAAUUGAGUACCAAAACUACAGUUCAGAGUAUCUUCCCUGAGUGGCUGCUUAAGUUUGUGGAUGCUUCAUCUUUUGCUGAUGUCCCAUGGUUGUUUCAAUCUGAUCUGCUAGUGGGCAGACACAGACUGGCUAUUUCUUUAAAACAUGAGAAUAAGCUUCCAGUGUAUUGAAUACAAGUGGUCUUGAUAGUCCAUAGUUAUAUUUUAGUGAUUGAGUCAACUCAUCACACUAAAAAAAAAAUUCAUGCUUACUCUUCCAUAGUAUGUAAAUGAACAAUGGCAUUUUUAAAUUCUAUUCCUUUUUAGUAACAUAUAGCAUACUCCCUCAUAGAACAUUAAUCAAAAAGGGUGUUUAAUACCAAACAAAGAGGAGUUUUUAAAAAAAAAAUCUUAUUACAUAUGCUACCUUUUGAGGUAUCUUCAGCUUCAUGCUUUUUGAUGCAAAAAGGAAAAAAAGCCCAACCCCCAAACCCAACAACUUCUGGAAGUAACAUUAAUUCUUACAUUAAUUAGCCUUUACAGUAAGGAAUAUAAGGAAACUUCUCUUUCUCUGUAACUUUUUUAUUUGUAUCAGUACAAGGCAAAAUGUUAAAAGUAAUGACUGAAAAUCAUUAUGCUUCAAGGGAAAGUCUGGGGAAUAGGAAGGGCUGGUUCACUAAAAGCCAGUUCUACCUAACAGACUACAUCUUUCACUGAGGAGGAGAGAAAAACAAGGCACAAGAGCUGUAUCUUAACAAAUAUAUGUGUUUUGUUGUCACAGCACUCUCCAAACUAGCCAGCUGCAGCAAGGUCUUUUACCAUCCCAUACCAGCAUGCUCUUCAUACAGUCCCUCUGCUGCCUUCUCCUCAUCUCACCUCAUCCAUGGCACACAGUCUUUCUCUUCUUUCUGCUUCUUCCUCCUCUCUCUUCCUUGGCUGCCCAACCCCUUACCAGAACCAGCCACAGCUGCACCUUAUCUACACCAGCCAACCCACCGCCCCUGAAGCCAGCCCACAGCUGUAUGUUAUCAGUGCUAAUUAACCCAGCUUCAUGCCUCUACAUUUCUUCAGGUCAAAACAAAUGCAAAACCUGUACAUACACAGCAGGAGAGUAAGGUAGGCAAACAACACAAACUAUCACUCAGGCUGCCAUUUCAAUGAAAAAGAUUUAGUCUUCAAAAUCAGUGGUUGGAAAUGAGUGCAAUGAAAUCAGAAAGCCCAAAAGGUUAAAUAGGCAUAUGAGUGAAUGAGGAAGGAAGGAAGGAUAGUAGUUGGUAAUAAAGGUAGGGUGAAGAAAGUGGUUAAGACACUAGCCUCAUUUGAAUCUCUUCUACAAGAAAAAGCUGUGAUCGGACAGGCUAGCAAGGUUUUCCUGAGUGUCUGGUGUCUACAGUCAGGAAGUUGAGGCCCUUGGGAAUGGGCAGCAGAAGCGUCAGUCACCAGUGUUUUCUACACCUUGCUAUACACGCUGUAACAAUGUGGAAAGUAUUUGCAGAAAAUACUUAUGGUAAAUCACUAGAAAGCCUAAAGCUGAUCACCAUCAUGGGAAAAGAUAAGCAUGUACCACACAAACAGGUGGCACUGACAGCUAACCUCCUAGAAAAAAAUCUUAAACUGUAAAAAUAGUUGUAUCUGGACUUUAAAGUUGCACUCUUGAACUCUGUGUGAAGCAACUUUGUUAGUUCUGCUGGAAUACUGAUGAGAUCUACUCCUUCAACAACAGAAUGCAUUGAAUUACUCGGACUAAUUGUGAAUCUACAAUUAUUAUAUGAACAAGCACAUUAAUGCUGGUGAUGGCUUUAACAAAUGCUGAACAGAAGGCUUAGGUCUCCUGAUAAGAAAAUAUGCAAAGCACUGUUUGGUUUUAUUUCUUAUGUGCCUCACAGCACUAUAUAGCUUUAUUUUAGCUAUUUAUUACCAGGCAGGGAUAUAGGACAAGUCACUCCAUAAAAAGCUUGUGUUGGAACUAGAGAUUAUAAGAUAACUGAACAGGUAUAGAUUUAAUAACUCCGCAAAAUUUAUUAUGAGUGUAUUACUCAUGCCAAGUAUGCCUUGGGAUAAAUGAGUAGUUCAGAUUGGGUGGGGAUAACUGGCAGAUAGUGUUAAUUAGAAGCAUAUGGAAAAUCCUUAAGUAUCUGAAUUUCCCCAUUCCAGGAAGAACUAUCCAAUGAUGUUUAUAGAAUUCACAUAUCUGCUUGCUAGUCAGUUUUGAGGAACCACAUUUAAGCAUCUGUCUAAUCUGCUUCCAGCCAAGAAAGCUUCUAGUGGUGUCCAAAAUGUAACCCUGAAGAAAAAUAGGUUAGGAAUAAGCAAAAAUGUGGAACUUCUGGGGAAGUAGAAUGUAUUCAGGAGAUGUCUGGGCACAUUGAAGGAUAACUAGGAGAGAUGCACCAAAGUAGCUAACCCUGUGCACUAAAUUUGUAUCUUACAUUUCUUAUUUUAAGAUUUUCCUUGCACAUGUUGCUUUUAAGAGAGUUACCUCAAGUAAAUAACUCUUUGUUUUACUAUUAAGGUUGUUAAAUACCAAGACAGAUAAGAAAUAACUGUCAAAAAAAGUCUGGGUGUGAAAGCUGGUGCUGUCAUGUCCCAGCUUUCUUAUGGGUACAAACUAACAACCAUCUGCAAAAGGGGUCCAGUGGGGAUUAUAACAGACAGCAACUAAGAGACUAAAAAUGUUUUAAUAUUCAAUUAACGGGCAAUUUAUAUUUAUCUGUUCCUGUUCCAGCAUUGCCCUUUGGCUUAAAUUGUUCUCAUUACUGUUACUCACUCUCCAUUGCUCUUUCUGCUUUCUUAGACUUCUAUCUCCUAAAUAAAUGGGCUCUCUUAUGCUGUAUGUAAUGAUGUACACUGUUACAAAAGGAGAAGAGUACUUAAAAAUAAUGACCUAAUGUUUUAAACUUGUUAAGUGGUCAUUAAACUUGUUCAUCUGCUCAAAUAGCAAAUAAGUGUCAACAGAAGGGCAAGGAAAUAAUAAUAAAAAAAACAAUUAUUGAGUCCUUCAAAAUCUUUGAAGAAGCACUGAUCCAUACUACACAGUUAAGGACUUGUGAAGAAUCCAACUAAAUUAUCCUAAUGAUGAACAAGAAAACUCCAGGGUGUAAUUAUUUAAAAUCAAAUUGCCUUGGAAAUCUCACAUAAUUUUUGAGAAAAACACUAGUAUUACCACUCAGUUACUUAAUUUCCAUUAUGAGAAUGCAUAAAGUGAGAUAGAAAAAAAGUAUGAGAUCAUUCAAGAAUAUUGGGUUAUAAUAUUAAAUACGGUGAACUAAAUAAAUCUCAGAAAAUAUGCAUCUUAAAA